rnacentral:rRNA from 1 species
CCUACGGGGGGCAGCAGUGAGGAAUAUUGGUCAAUGGGCGAGAGCCUGAACCAGCCAAGUCGCGUGAGGGAGUACUGCCCUAUGGGUUGUAAACCUCUUUUGUCGGGGAGCAAAAGCCGGACGUGUCCGGCUGUUAGAGUACCCGAAGAAAAAGCAUCGGCUAACUCCGUGCCAGCAGCCGCGGUAAUACGGAGGAUGCGAGCGUUAUCCGGAUUUAUUGGGUUUAAAGGGUGCGCAGGCGGAUUUUUAAGUCAGCGGUCAAAUCGUGGGGCUCAACCCCAUCCAGCCGUUGAAACUGUAUGUCUUGAGUGCGGGAGAGGCAAUCGGAAUUCCGUGUGUAGCGGUGAAAUGCGUAGAUAUACGGAGGAACACCAGUGGCGAAGGCGGAUUGCUGGACAGUAACUGACGCUGAGGCGCGAAAGCGUGGGGAGCAAACAGGAUUAGAUACCCGAGUAGUC